rnacentral:lncRNA from 1 species
GCUUGCUGGGACGCGUAGUCCCAGUGGCCCCUGCGGCCCCACCCAGGAGUACCUGUUCUGGAGUUCCAGGACCCCACAGCAGCACCGUGAAACUUGGGACCCCGGAGCACUCAGGACCGGAUGACUGCCAGGAAUCUGGGGAGCAGCGGGAUCCCCAGAUGCCAGAAUCCGCGGAACCUGAGUAUCCCUGACAUCACUAUCCCAGAUCUGGUAGUGCCCAGACUCAGAAGUGCCUGGAACCCCAGAGUGGCCCCAACCCUGUGUCCCAGACCUGGGAAUACUCUGAUCCCCCAGGAUGGAUCACCAGAGUGCCCCGAGCAAGUAUGUGCCCCUAUACUCUGCAGAGCCUCAUCCCUGGCUGUUUAUAUCCCUCAUGCUGUCCACUUUAACCCUAUUGUCAUCUUUUGCCCCACUCAGUGCCUCUGCCAGAACUGUUCUGACCACACUGCUGCUUCUGUGUCCUCUCACUUUGCUGUCUGUUCCUUUUCACCCCAGCUGACCACCCAUGUGGACAUGCUUGUACCCUGGAGUUCCCAGUUGUCCC